rnacentral:misc_RNA from 1 species
GAUGAAGAACGUAGUGAAAUGCGAUACGUAAUGUGAAUUGCAGAAUUCAGUGAAUCAUCGAGACUUUGAACGCACAUUGCGCCCCCUGGUAUUCCGGGGGGCAUGCCUGUCCGAGCGUCAUUGCUGCCCUCAAGCACGGCUUGUGUGUUGGGCCUCCGUCCUCCUCCCGGGGGACGGGCCCGAAAGGCAGCGGCGGCACCGCGUCCGGUCCUCGAGCGUAUGGGGCUUCGUCACCCGCUCUUGUAGGCCCGGCCGGCGCUUGCCGACACAUCAAUCUUUUUUCCAGGUUGACCUCGGAUCAGGUAGGGAUACCCGCUGAACUUAAGCAUAUCAAUAAGCGGAGGA